AGUUAGCAGGUACAUUCUUUUUGAGCAUGGAUUGGAAUUGGAUAUUUGGGUUUCUAAAAAUGAGACUUGGAACUGUUAGAUCUCAAUGUACCUCAUUCUAGAACAACUUGACUUGUGCACAUAUGGGGUGUAGGGAACACUGUGUCAGACCUGACAGGAGAAAGUUAGUUUUUUAAGCAAAUAUUUCAUGUCUCUCUUUUGGAUUCCAGGUUCUCUGUGUUCUCCUACAUAAAGAUGGCAACAGUAGAAGGGAGACAUUGCCAUUCUGGCUGUCCUUGGGAUUCAGACUUGGUUUUGGUGCAUAGUUUUGCCAUGGGAAAAGUGUCCAGGAAUGGCUUUCUCUCCCUUGACUGUGUUUUUAGUGAAGUUGCCUAUGAUCAGGAUUUGCGCAACAUGAAAUGUUCAGUGAAUAUUUGAAAAUCCUUUCUUUCCUGUUUCUGCAUCCUGUAACCACAGUAACAAGAAUUCUUGGGGUGGCAGGAGGUUUCUUAAGACGGCAAAUUAUGGUUGAAUUGUCAAUAAAUAUUGCAGAUGAAGUAGAAA